rnacentral:pre_miRNA from 7 species
GAAGUGACAGUGGCUGCUGGUAUCGCUGGCUCUGACAAUGUUGCACUACUGUCUGCACAAAUAAAGCAGUGCAAUAAUAUUGUCAAAGCAUUUGGUUCCAGUCCUUAUACAUCCUCAUG